UACGGAGGAUGCAAGCGUUAUCCGGAAUUAUUGGGCGUAAAGCGUCCGCAGGUGGCACUUCAAGUCUGUCGUCAAAGACUGGGGCUUAACCCUGGACAGGCGGUGGAAACUGAAGCGCUAGAGUGCGGUAGGGGUAGAGGGAAUUCCCGGUGUAGCGGUGAAAUGCGUAGAGAUCGGGAAGAACAUCGGUGGCGAAAGCGCUCUGCUGGACCGCAACUGACACUCAGGGACGAAAGCUAGGGGAGCGAAUGGG
rnacentral:rRNA from 1 species